UCUCUGGUUGUCCAGUGGCUAAGACUCUGUGCUCCCAAUUUAGGGGGUCUAGGUUCAAUUCCUGGUUGGGGAA
rnacentral:tRNA from 1 species